AUGCUUGUUGAGACAAACAAGAGUGUAACCUAUAACCUUGUUUACAAGCUUCUUUAAUUGGUUCUAAUCCUACCAGUAGCAACAGCUAGUGUUGAGAGAGUAUUCUCUUCAAUGACUUAUGUGAAAAACAAGCUACGCAAUAAAAUGGGGAAUCAACUCUUGAAUGAUUGCUUGGUUACAUUUAUCAAGAGGGAAUUCUUCUUUGAAGUGACGGAUGAUGUUCUCAUAUCUCGCUUUCAAAAAAAUGAGACCAACCCAAGGGCUAAUCCUUGUUGGCAUUUUUUUAUAGGAGAAACUCAGCGAGCAUCGCGUGUCCGAACCGGGACUCGAACUCAGGUAGGCUGGCAGCAACCUAGCUGGACCAGAGAUUUGCAGAAAAUAUAUUAG
rnacentral:rRNA from 1 species